rnacentral:rRNA from 1 species
CUUGGUCAUUUAGAGGAAGUAAAAGUCGUAACAAGGUUUCCGUAGGUAAGUGGAGAAGCUUUCCAUCUUACACCCCCCAUAGUCCAUAGUUGCUCGUCCGAUGCGCCGUUGUCUUGCCUCUUCGGCAGGUCUCUCCGGCUUUUUCGGAUUUUUUUGGUGCUCCCUUAGCUAGUGGGGGUGUUGCAUGAAUGCAGACAGCGGACGCGGACAAAACUAGUAGUUUAAUUUAACCUACUACUUGCCCACUUACCAUCUUUCUAUGCUUGAAUAACGUGCUGACUUUUCUCUUUUAGGUGAACCUGCGGAAGGAUCAUUACCGAGUGUGACCCCCCCGUAAAAAAGGGGGGUGCCUCCCGUCCUUUGCGGGCCCCUUGGGGCUUUCAGACUUUGCUUCGGCGGGGCUGCCCCGCCGGAACACCCUCAAGAAAAUCUCUUACAAAACCGUUCAGUCCGAGGUUGCGAUAAUAAGCAAAACUUUCAACAACGGAUCUCUUGGUUCUGGCAUCGAUGAAGAACGCAGCGAAAUGCGAUAAGUAAUGUGAAUUGCAGAAUUCAGUGAAUCAUCGAAUCUUUGAACGCACAUUGCGCCCCCUGGCAUUCCGGAGGGCACACCUGUUCGAGCGCCAUUUCGACCCUCAAGCACAGCUUGGUGUUGGGCUCGGUCCUGCGGGACCGGCCCGUAACUCGUAGGCGGCCGCCGCCCGCGCCCCCAGCGUAGCAAGCUCACGCGUUCGCUCGGGGACGGCGCGUCUGGCCCGCCAGACAAAUUUUUCAAGGUUUGGCCUCGGAUCAGGUGGGGAUACCCGCUGAACUUAAGCAUAUCAAUAAGCGGAGGA